rnacentral:misc_RNA from 1 species
CCGAGUUUACAACUCCCAAACCCCUGUGAACAUACCUAUACGUUGCCUCGGCGGAUCAGCCCGCGCCCCGUAAAACGGGACGGCCCGCCCGAGGACCCCUAAACUCUGUUUUUAGUGGAACUUCUGAGUAAACAAACAAAUAAAUCA